rnacentral:rRNA from 1 species
GAUGAACGCUGGCGGCGUGCCUAAUACAUGCAAGUCGAGCGAAUGGAUUAAGAGCUUGCUCUUAUGAAGUUAGCGGCGGACGGGUGAGUAACACGUGGGUAACCUGCCCAUAAGACUGGGAUAACUCCGGGAAACCGGGGCUACUACCGGAUAACAUUUUGAACCGCAUGGUUCGAAAUUGAAAGGCGGCCUCGGCUGUCACUUAUGGAUGGACCCGCGUCGCAUUAGCCAGUUGGGGAGGUAACGGCUCACCAAGGCAACGAUGCGUAGCCGACCUGAGAGGGUGAUCGGCCACACGGGGACUGAGACACGGCCCAGACUCCUACGGGAGGCAGCAGUAGGGAAUCUUCCGCAAUGGACGAAAGUCUGACGGAGCAACGCCGCGUGAGUGAUGAAGGCUUUCGGGUCGUAAAACUCUGUUGUUAGGGAAGAACAAGUGCUAGUUGAAUAAGCUGGCACCUUGACGGUACCUAACCAGAAAGCCACGGCUAACUACGUGCCAGCAGCCGCCGCCG